rnacentral:rRNA from 1 species
UACGUAGGGACCAAGCGUUGUUCGGAUUUACUGGGCGUAAAGGGCGCGUAGGCGGCAAUUCAAGUCAUCUGUGAAAUCUCCGGGCUUAACCCGGAAAGGUCAGCCGAUACUGCGGGGCUAGAGUGCAGAAGGGGCAACUGGAAUUCUCGGUGUAGCGGUGAAAUGCGUAGAUAUCGAGAGGAACACCUGCGGCGAAGGCGGGUUGCUGGGCUGACACUGACGCUGAUGCGCGAAAGCUAGGGGAGCGAACGGG